rnacentral:rRNA from 1 species
GACGAACGCUGGCGGCGUGCCUAAUACAUGCAAGUAGAACGCUGAAGGAGGAGCUUGCUCUUCUGGAUGAGUUGCGAACGGGUGAGUAACGCGUAGGUAACCUGCCUGGUAGCGGGGGAUAACUAUUGGAAACGAUAGCUAAUACCGCAUAAGAGUAGAUAUUGCAUGACAUUUGCUUAAAAGGUGCAAUUGCAUCACUACCAGAUGGACCUGCGUUGUAUUAGCUAGUUGGUGGGGUAACGGCUCACCAAGGCGACGAUACAUAGCCGACCUGAGAGGGUGAUCGGCCACACUGGGACUGAGACACGGCCCAGACUCCUACGGGAGGCAGCAGUAGGGAAUCUUCGGCAAUGGACGGAAGUCUGACCGAGCAACGCCGCGUGAGUGAAGAAGGUUUUCGGAUCGUAAAGCUCUGUUGUAAGAGAAGAACGAGUGUGAGAGUGGAAAGUUCACACUGUGACGGUAUCUUACCAGAAAGGGACGGCUAACUACGUG